rnacentral:lncRNA from 1 species
UAAUUCAGGUUAUGAUUCAGGAAAUGAGGCAGCAUCAGCACCAGCUCGUAUUUACACAACCACGGGUUUGUGCGUUAUUUAAAUAAUUAAAGACGUACAGAUAAAACGGGCUGAUUAUAUAAAUACAAGAGAGAAUGUGAGCUGUAAGACAUCAGGGGAGCUUUUCAUGCUUUUAAAGCUCGUUUCCACGAAUGCGAUGUUAAAAACGGACGUGCAUCGUCUCGUCUCAGAAGGUCAUCUUUCGUUGAUUAAUUCAGGUUAAUGAAUUCAGGAAAAUGAGGCAGCAUCACCCACACAACACUCUCAAAAGUUUCCCCGUGUAAUGAUAAUAAAACUGGCCAACCUUGAUCCCCGCAGAUCGCGCAGGAGACGGGAGUGUGUCCCGCGGCAGAGGACCGAUGUGGAGGAAGAGGGGGUAAGCGAUGUAAAGAAUAAACGGGUAAAUAGCUAACCUUUGGGUUUCAGAUUUGCAAACAUGGCUGGUGAUGUUUGAGCGCAGCCAUGAUCACAGACGAGAGACAGAGAGCGAGCCGAAAGAGGAAGUGAAUGACGGCUGAAGAGCGCGCGCCUCCGGGUCUUAACGCCCGCUGUAUGCGCUGCAGACCACGGAGAGUUCAGAGGAGACCGCGGCCAAACACCUGCACCUCUGCCCUGACACGAACCACGACAAUGGUGAUUAUGAAAUUGCGUAUGAAGAUAAAAGAGGACUACUUCAAUGGGUCAGAAAGCGCUCUAAAGUUCAGCUAAUUGCAUGCAAUAUAAAUUGUAAACUAUAAUACAUUUCAGUUUGCACUUAAGUAUAUUCUUUUAAAGUAUUAUUUUCCAUAAAAAAGUACUCUUUUUAAAUUAUGCAAAGCAGCUACUGGACACUAAACCGCUAGAUUCGGUGAGUGCCCAUACAAAAUACUGGUAUAAAAAAAGCUUAUUGUGAUAUUCUGAUAUUCAGUUGCAAAUAUAAAAGAUUUCCCAAAUAUGUUUUAUUCAGCAAGGAUGCAGUAAAUUGAUUAAAAAAAUAAAAAUAAAAAUAAACUUACUGAUUAAUAACUGCAAACAUUUAUAAUGUAACAAAACAUUUUUAUUGCAAAUAAUCUGUUCUUUUUCAUUUCUAUUUAUUAAAGGAUCCUGAAAAAAUCACAAUAGUUUCAUAGUUUAAAAAAACUUUUUCUUGAGCAGCAAAUCUACAUAUUAGAAUGAUUUCUGAAAGAUCGCGUGAGACUGAAGACUGGAGUAUUCUAAUGAUGCUGAAAAUUAAGCACACUGAAAAACAAAAGGUGAAAAAUAAUUUUCGAUCAGAAAUUGCUAGUAAACUUACAUGAUAGCAUAUUUCCUCUGACUGUCGAAUACACAGGGACCCGGCCUCAAACCGUGUUCUUGAGAAAUUCUGAUUCUGGCAUCAUCGCAUAUGACUCCUCAAGACUGCAGGGUGUCUGAUUUAACAUUUCAGGUUUCAUUUGGGACAGGGCGUCAAAAAACAAACACUCAUACAGAAAACCAAAAACUUAAAACGGAAACGCAUUUGUCUCCAACUAUUUGCUCCAUCAUGUAGCCUAAACAUGUGGUCUGGUGAGCAAAAGAGCAGGACCGGUUCCAAUAAACUUAAUUAAAAAAAUUGCAAACAAAUACUCAUUAUCGAUUUCUAUAAAAACAUAGCAUUUUUUUCAAUAUCCAAAUGUGUUUCUGCUGCACAAGUGGGGAGGAGGAGUGUAGCGCAGAGCGCUAGGACCCAGCGCGAGGACCCGGAGUCUGAAGUCAUUGUGGAGGAAUGGAUGCGCAGCCACAAUGCGGCUGAAGGAAGUGAUGCGCCGCUACUGAGAGGUAGAGCAGAGGCCAUGCCUUUCAGCCAAUAUACAAGAUAUAUAACCGACUGCAUACAUCCAGAAUACCCCUGUUUUAAACAGGUGACCGCUUUUAUUUUUAAUUAACAUGGCAGAAAAUUAGACAUAGGCUACACCCUGCUAAGGGCUGGUGUGAGAUGAGGUAUCAGCAUGUCGUCAUAGGCCGAGAGCGCGCAUCGUUAUGAACCCAUCAUUAUAGCACCUCCUUCUUGACCUCACGGCGAAAUGUUAACGUUGUGUAAAAGCGCGAGCUGUGGAUGAUUAUUAAGUACUCUGAAAAUUCGGAGUUGGCAGGUAAAAACAACAAUUUUACCCCAUGCAGUAUGACUCGCGCACGUAUCCCAUCACCAUCACGCCCUUGAACUACUUAUUGAAGCCAGUUUGCCUGAGAGAGGAGUCUUUACAGUAA